rnacentral:rRNA from 1 species
CGUGUAGGCGGAUUAUUAAGCUUGAUGUGAAAGACAGUAGCUCAACUACUGGAACGCAUUGGGAACUGGUAGUCUAGAGUUUUGGAGGGGUAGUUGGAAUUCCUAGUGUAGGGGUGAAAUCUGUUGAUAUUAGGAAGAACACCGGUGGCGAAGGCGAACUACUGGCCAAAAACUGACGCUGAGGCGCGAAAGCAUAGGGAGCGAACAGGAUUAGAUACCCUGGUAGUCC